CUGGAGUCGAUAGAGAGAUACUUACACAAGUAGUUGUGAAGUAUUCUGCCUCUUCUCAUUCUUCUGUCCUUGGGUGCCUUCAAGCUGAAGUAAGAAGCAGCUCUUUAAUGCAUGGCCAUGUGGUGUGCAGUUCCCAAACACAGCAGGGACUUACUCAGACCUUGAGGCAACACCUGGAGGCAGCAGUUGGAGGGGAAGCCCACAGCAAUGCUUCUGCCAUUCAGCAUCCACAGAGCUUGAAUCAUUCUGCAAGGAAAGUGCUCCAACUUCUCUGCAGUAUUUUUAGUCUAAAGCAGAUGCAUUAAUACUAAUAGGUAUGGAAGCACCUUCCUAUUGAAAACAACUCCACGUCAGGCACCCAUGACUUCAGUCACACCCCCGGUGCCACUUACACCCUGCCACAGAAAUGCAAUCACAUAAAUCAGCAUGACUGAGCUAGCAAAAUUCCUCCUGCAGCCACAGCGAUGCUGACAGGAAGGCAGUGUAGGAGCUACAGUAGCCCUGGAGAAAACUGGGUUAACACAGACCAGCUCUGCAGCCAGAUGCAUUCACUUCUUAUGGCAACUGAUCAGCAUGAAGAAAAACAACUAUUUUUCAGGGAGUCGUUGAACAGAUUUUAUUUUCCACAUUUAUUCUUAACAGUACAAAACCCAGCAGGGAGGGUGAGGCAGAUCCAGACAGUAAUGUUUGUUGAGAACUCAAUCUGGGCUGCAACGUAAUGUAAAUACAAAUCCCACCAUACAAGUGAGGUUCCUCACACAUGAUGCUCGCUUCCAAAAUCAGUUACUUACUCUCUGUCUCUGUUGUGAAGAUACACUGUGGUACUGCUGGCUGGAGCACUGCUGUGUAAUGCCCACACUGAGCACUGCUUUCCUAACCUACUGACAUUUGACAAAGCUUUUAAGGUCUUCGAGGAAUUUAAUGUACUCCUGGUGCUCCAGUGCAGUGCUGAGCUCAAUUAACUCAUCGGCAAAUGUGUUAUCCACUCCUCGGUCAGCCAGGAAAUCCAUUAAGUGGUCAUACAGAGCCUGCAAGCAAGGAACAGAAAGCAGCCUUAGCAGAGCACAGCUGGGGAUGUUUUGCUUCUGAAAUGUCUGACUGUAACUGGCAUCACUGUUUCCCAUACAAUCAGGCCGAGCUGUGUGCUGGAGCUGAUAGAAGGGACAAUAGGAGCCCACACACACUGAGCUCUGCCUCUCCCCUCAGUGUAGUGCCAUGGGGGUAUCUGUGUUGGCAGUAUCUGGUGUCAGUCUGUUUGAGAGGCUCAGUCUUUCACUACCUGCACACCAUUUUUUCUUGCUUCAAAUCCUACUCAACUACUGCAAUGCCUUUCUACUUGUGGGCUCCCCCCUUUGCUCCUUACAGGAAUAGAUGUGGUACUCCUGCUUAGUGCAGCAUGCCAAUACCUGCCACAUUGCCUCCAAUGAGUAACAGGAAGCAAAUGCUUCAUUUUGGACUUCUGCAAUAGGAGUAAAGCAUAAAUCUUACAAAUCUGAAUGAGAAGCAGCAGCGUGGGAUAUUCUAAAGCACAUUGAACAGUCCAAGAUCAGUGCUUUCCAAAGACAGAGAGACACCCCCGGAGCAAAGCUUUAAUCACAACGCGUGGGCUCCAUCUAAGAAUGAACCUUCACACAACCGAUGUGAAUGAAGCCUAUGGAGAAUGAACCUAAGUGAGGAGUGAGUGGGGAGCCAGGCAGGAGGAGCUGAAGUGCCCUGUGCAGCCCACAGCCGUGCCAGCAGCACUCACCCAGUCGAGGGAGUCUGUAUUGAGGGUGUAGUUGGUGUCCUUCCAAUCUGAUUCUCCGGUGGGCUGAAAGCUGACCUCCCUAAUGGUGAAAAUGUCACUUUCCUCCUCUCCCUCGUGGCCAACCUCAUCCUCGGGGUAAUGGCAGUCCAGCACCAGGGUCUGCUUCGUAUCGUCCUUAAUGACCUCCACAACGAAGUUCGGAGUCGAUGUGAUGUCGGGCUCUUCCUGCUCGUCGGGCUUCUGCUCCUCCGGCGCUUCGUCAUCCACCGCGGGGGGGAUGCUGUUGUUGAUGUUGAACGUAACCGUUAUCUUCUCCCCGGCGACUUUGCGCACCAGCCGGGCCUCGGUGCCGUGCACCUCCAGCUCCCACCCGCCGGACACUUUGGGCAGCGCUUUGUGCUUCUGGAUCUUCCGCUCCUCCUUGAUCUCAUCCGUCAGGAACUGCGCGAACGCUUUGUCCCCCUCUGUGUGCAGCCCGCCGCAGCCGCAGGACACGCCGCCCGCCGAGCCCCGCCGCGGGCGGAGCAGCGCCCCCCGCCACCCGCCGCCAUCGCUCCGCUGCCAGAGGGAGCGCGCCAGGGGCGGCGGCGGCAGGAGGGCGCGGGGAGGGAGGGACGAGAGCGGGCGGCGCGGGGCAGUGCGGGGCGCAGCGCGGCGGCGGCGCGUAGGGCUCGUGCGAGCAGCAUGGCGAGACGGGGACAGGCGGCUGACCCGGAAGUGCUCGGGCCGCUUCCGGCGCUCCGCCCGCCGCGCUGCGGCGCGGGUUCGAGACCCACCCCCAGCGUGACCUUGGGGGGGGGGGGGGGGGCGCCCAGAAGCUUCGAAAGGCGAAGGCGGGGGAGGGGGAAGCAGCGCUGCUCUGCCCCGGGAGCGGCCAUUGCGUGACCCCAGGUAAGGUGGUGAACGUGAUGUGUGAGUUAAAGGAUAGCUGAGGAGGUAAUGGGCCGUGGCAUCAUCCCCUUCCUACAAACAGCAAAAGAAAAACAGUACUUUUUUUUUCUCCUUGUAUGUAGAAAUUUAAUUUUUUUUUCCAACAAUAAAACCUGCCCAGAGUACAAACAGUAUCAUCAAAAAAUAUCAAGUCUGCUGCAAGAGCUCCUGGGCUCCCAUUUCCCCAUAGACAAGCCUGUUACAUCUCAGCCGGUGUUAAAGACCAGCACGUGACACACGGCUCCCCUGUCUGCCACCCCCUUCUCACACCCCCAGCACACACUGUGGUCCCCUUUUACACAGAAACUGUUAAAAGGACGAUAGUUCAAAGCCAUGGACACGUGGGAGGCCCGGCUCUCACACAGGAGCCAUUUUGCUCCACGGUUUGCACCUGAUCGGCACGACAAAACCCUGCUGUUCCUCUACACCCAUGGCAAAACAGAAAGCAGUCCUACAGAGUGAGCCUUAAAGCCCUGCAGCGCUCCUGCAGCCCGGCUCAGUUCUUGGCUGCUCUGAGUUUCCUGCGGAAAUAGUCCGGCGCUGCGUCGUACAGCCACUCUGCAUCCACCACGCACAGGUCCCGCAUGUAGCACUUGUUGGUGUGCAGCAGCCCGUUGUAAACCACGCAGGAGGGUUUGCAGUGGAAGAGCACAGAAGAGGGGUGGAUGGCCACCAACUGGUGAGAGUUCACAGUGCUGUAGGUGCCGUCCGGCUGCAGCUCGGCGGCGUUCAUGAAGAGGCUGUGAGCCAGGCAGCGGCGGAUGUUCGCCGUGUCGGAGCGGGAGGACUCCAUGGGCAUGGAUAACUGUUUGGCGGUGGGACAGAGAGACAAGGCGGCUGGUCAUUGCUUACAGCACGGGCACAGACAUCCCCAACAACACAUCUAACCAGGCCAGGCAGCACGCUGCGACCCCAGCUGAGCCAGGAAGCACACAUCACUUCCCA
rnacentral:lncRNA from 1 species